UACGGAGGAUGCAAGCAUUAUCCGGAUUUAUUGGGUUUAGAGGGUGCGCAGGUUGUUUGAUAAGUCAGUGGUGAAAGUCUGUCGCUUAACGGUAGGAUUGCCAUUGAUACUGUUAGACUUGAAUAUGGAUGAGGUAGGCGGAAUGUGUAGUGUAGCGGUGAAAUGCAUAGAUAUUACACAGAACACCGAUUGCGAAGGCAGCUUACUAAUCCAUCAUUGACGCUGAGGCACGAAAGCGUGGGGAGU
rnacentral:rRNA from 1 species